ensembl:lncRNA
AUCAAUCUCAGCUUCAGAACUAACUUUUUCCUAUUUUAAAUCUUCACUUGAACAGGUAAGAGUUUCAUAGUACACUCUACUGUAAAAUGUGGUAUUCAUGUCUACAGUAGAUUUAAAAAUAAUGUCUUCUUAAUUUAAAGAAGUCCUGGCAACCAUGAAACUACAAGUUCUAGUGAUGUGCCUAGUGAUGUGCCUGUGUUCCUCCAUUCCUGUAAGUUUUCUAGAAUAACAAAAUUUGUCCUGCUCUUUACAAAUCCAUAGUUCAAGACAUUCUACAUAUUCCAUCAAUUUCUUCGUAUUAAAAUAAGAAAAUAAUUGACUUAUGUAUCAUGGGCUGAUUGUUCACAACUUUAAAUGUGGAUGUAUUUGUACCGUAAUAACAUUAAUUCUGGAAUUCUUUUUGUGGGUGCAGGUGUCUAAGAAACAUAAUAGAGAGGAGCGCUCUUCGAGUCAUGAGGGAUAUAGGGGUUUUAUGGGGUUCCACCCCUAUCCUCAGUACUACCCCCAGCCUCCCCAGAGUGACACCACCCUGAUGGCCCUGCUGCCCUUACUAUUGGCCAGACGCACUGCUGCUUCUGCACCGGUUCCUGCACCCCUUCCUCCCCUGCCGGCCCUACCUGCCUUACCACCCCUACCUCCUCUACCUGCCCUACCUGCCCUACCUGCCCCACCUGCCAUACCUCCCCUUCCUGCCUUACCUGCCAUACCCCCAUUUCCUGCCAUACCUCCCUUUCCUCCCCUACCCGCCCUACCUGCCCCACCUGCUCUACCUGCCCUACCCGCUCUACCUGCCCUACCCGCUCUACCUGGCCUUCCUGCUCUAGCUGCCCCAGCAGCCCCAGCUGCCCCAGCUGCCCCACCAGCUCUACCUUUAAUUCCUUUCCUAACUUCCCUUUUUGGAAGGAAAUAAAAAUGAAAUGGCCAUUUCCAGAAGUCGGGAGAGAAAAAUUUACUCCCAUGUCUCUACCUUGUCUAGUUUAAAGCUAAUAACAAAUAAAAUUAAUUAAAUUAAGACCUGUCUUUAUGUAUGAUUUUAGAAAUUAAUGAGGCAGUCAUGCUCGUUUGGUAUAUUUUUGUGGACUUGAACCCAUAGAUACCCCAGUGGCCAUACUUAACUGGAAUAACCAAGCCACUAUUGUUUUUUUUUUCUUUGUCUUUUGUUUUGUUUGCUUUACACAGGGAACCAUAUUAUUGUAGAUGGGCUUGGAAACUUGUCCAACCUCACCUGUGUGCUCAAAGGUCUAACAUGAUUGUGAAAAAACAUUGGAUAGACUAGGUAAACAGAAUGGCACCAAAGAGCUCUCAUGAAACAGUGACAUGCUGGAGCAAUACAAAGAAAUAAUUAAUCACAUAGUGAAUGUAAUAUUCUAGUAAAACUUAAUAAGUGUUUAUACAUUUUAUCUUCAACAGAAACGGGUAUGUUUUCAUUCAUUUUCAGCCCUUUGUAUUGCAUGACUGUAGUCAGACUUUGUGUAGUCACUGGGUAAUUUAUAAAUAUUGAAUCUUUAUUAUAGAUAUAGGGUUCAGACUUUAGAGGAGGACACAAAAUAAUCAAACACUUAUCUGUAAAUGCCUUGAUAAGUGUCUCCAUUACUUUAAUGACCAACUGCAGUAUUAGUAAAUAUGGAAGAUAAUAUUCAUUACCACACUCGUUCAUUUUCAGCCCUUUGUAUUGCAUGACUGUAGUCAGACUUUGUGUAGUCACUGGGUAAUUUAUAAAUAUUGAAUCUUUAUUAUAGAUAUAGGGUUCACACUUUAUAGGAGGACACAAAAUAAUCAAACACUUAUCUGUAAAUGCCUUGAUAAGUGUCUCCAUUACUUUAAUGACCAACUGCAGUAUUAGUAAAUAUGGAAGAUAAUAUUCAUUACCACACUCGUUAAACAUUACUAUUAUCCAAUUUGUUACACUCUAUGAAUUCAUUUUGAAAAGGAAGUAUGCUUAUAAAUAAACUGUUGUCAACCUGAUGGCUAAUAUAUAUAUAUUAAAAGAUGACAACACAUAAUAUUAAUAUGUAUAUUUUAGUCAAUUUGCAGAUGGUCCUAUCCAAGUGCAUAGAUUAAAAAAACAAAAAAACAUCUAGGUUAAACAACCUUAGAGCGUAGUAAUGCCAUUGUAAUCAGUUAAUUCAUUUUUGGCAAAAGUUGGUGCCGGAAAGAACAACCUACAAAUAAUAAAUAAUAAAGUUUACCAAUGACAUAUAACUCAACAAAUGACACAUGUAUUAAGGCAAGUAGAUAGAUAGAUAGAUAGAUAGAUAGAUAGAUAGAUAGUAACAAUAAGUAACUAUUCAAGUAAUUAUUCCAUAAUCAUAAAUGCCAUUCAUACCUAAAUAAGGUUGUUGAGUCAUACAACACAUGAAGGGACACCAUGAAAUAUUAGUUGUGGCCAAAGUAUGGUUUUGAAAGAAAAUACAAUACUAUAUAGUGGAACAAUGUCAAUUUGAAACUGGUUUAGCCCAGUCUGAAAGAGGACAACUUUAGAUUAUUUCUGUCAUUUCAUGAAUGCCAAACUUAGUACAGGACUAGUGCUAUAUAUUCUCAAACAUUGGAACUUCAGGGCGAGAUAAAAAAAAAAUUAUACUAAAGUAAAUAUAUAUUUUGAACACAACAAUGGGUUAAAAUUAAUUUCCCCAAAAAUAGUUAGGUGUAAUACAGUACAAUGUAAUUAAUGGAAUACAUAAUAGGCACCGCUUCUCUCCUGG